CGACUCUGGUUUCUCUUCAUUACGCACAAGCCUUUCGCCUUUUACUAAAGACUUCCGUGGAGAGGAACACUUACGAGUUCAACAUAUUUUGGGAAGGGCUUUGCUUCUGGCAGAGCC
rnacentral:snRNA from 1 species